rnacentral:lncRNA from 1 species
CUCCCACUCCGCCCCAACUGGAGAACGGUGUAAAGAACUGUCAGCCGGGUGCAGUGGGAGACACCACGGAGCCUACCUCUGCAGGAGGCAUAGCUUGGCAGAAGGGAGACACCAGCCAGAGGAAGGGUGCACUUUAGGCACCGAACUUUAGGUAAAGCGCUCUGGGUCAGGCGUCUCCUCCAGAGUGGUCUGUUUAAAGUUAAAAAGGUCGCCUUCAAAAUAGUUGUAAAAUCUAUACACUUACCCAGACAUACACAUUUUUC